rnacentral:sRNA from 1 species
AUACGAGCGAUGCAACUAAUAAUCAUCUUAGCUUCUUGUGUCAUAUUAUAUGAUUUAUCUUGUUGAACACAAUUACUACAUUGUUCACAUUCUUCUAAUUUUUCAUUCGGUUCAAAAUAAUGGACAAUUGUUGCUUCUAGACAUUUUUUUGUUUUUGUAUAUUGAAUCAUUUUAGUUAACUUUUCGCCC